UGUCUUCUGGAGGGACACUGAACGUGGCUCUUGGUACAUUGAGACCCUGGACAGCAUCUUGGAGCACUGGGCUUCCUCUGAAGAUUUGCAAUACCUGCUGCUCAGGGUGGCUAAUGCCGUAUCCGAGAAAGGGAUUUAUAAACAGAUUCCUGGUUGUUUCAAUUUCCUCCGGAAAAAACUUUUCUUUAAAACCAAAUGAGGACACCUCAUCCUUCAUGUACAGCGUGCUGCAGCAGACCUGGAUGCUGCCACCCCAUCCUGCAACUCAAGGCUUCAGAGCUGGGCAGUUUCCAUCCCUCACUGGUCUCAGCAGCUUCCACAGCAGAGAGCAGUGUCCAGGAGCAGAGGGAGAAGACCAGAAAGCUGUGGACACCAUGCAGACUCCACCUCAGAGCUGGCCUUGGGCUGCUGCCUGGCCCAUCACCCCAUCUUCUGUGGAGCAGUGCUCCCCAUCCUCCAUACUGUGGCCCUGUGGGCCAGGUGCCCUUGGUUCAGGGUCACCGAGGUAUCGGAGGAGGCUUUGUGCUGUCACUAGGCUCCAACCGCAAUACCUGCAGCAGGCCUCCUUGAGCUAUGCUGACCACCGCCAUCUUCAAAGGUCACCACCUGUACUCUGGGGUACAAAAGAGUCCCCAGUGGAGAAGGGAGGCUCUGCAGGGAGUUGGGGCUACAGACAAACCAGUGUCUCUCAGGUCAAACAAUUUCAGCUACUAGAGUCUAAACAGCUGGGGUCCGUCAUUCUGAAGUGUCAGGAAUGGUUAACAUUCUUUUAUCACGUUAUUUAGUCUUAAAAAAUAAAUCUUAGGUGAAUGUGGGUUUUUUCUUUUGUUUCCUCUGUUCCUUCUCAUUUUCCUUCAACUCUUUGUCUUCCUUCAUAAAGUACAAUUUUAUCAUCUUCAAAACAUUUUCCUAGAGUCAGGUAUAUCAAAAGAAUAAAAAAUGAAUUUUUAAAUGG